UUUAAUUUUGGGUUUGAUGCUUGGGUUUUAUGUUUAGUAUUAGGAUUUUAAGUUUCGAUUUUGAAUUUUGGAUUUAAGGUUUAAAGAUCUAGAGUAUUGGAUUUUCAAUUUUGGAAUUUUGAUUUUGAGUUUUGAUUUUGGGUUUUGGAUUUUUUGGUUUAUGGUCUAGAGUAUUGGGUUUUGAAUUUUGAAUUUUAGAUUUUGAGUUUUGAGUUUUGAUUUUGGAUUUUG
rnacentral:lncRNA from 1 species